rnacentral:rRNA from 1 species
GACGAACCGUGCGAACGUUGUUCGGAAUCACUGGGCUUAAAGGGCGCGUAGGCGGGUGUGCAAGUCUGUGGUGAAAGCCUCCAGCUUAACUGGAGAAGUGCCGUGGAUACUGCACAUCUUGAGGAGGGUAGGGGCAUCUGGAACGGUCGGUGGAGCGGUGAAAUGCGUUGAUAUCGACCGGAACUCCGGUGGCGAAGGCGAGGUGCUGGACCCUUACUGACGCUGAGGCGCGAAAGCCAGGGGAGCAAACGGG